rnacentral:rRNA from 1 species
UAUUUAAAGUCUCACCUGCCCUAUGAAUGAAAGUUUAAAUGGCCGCGGUAUCUUGACCGUGCAAAGGUAGCAUAAUCAUUAGUUUUUUAAUUGAAAGCUGGAAUGAAAGGUUGGAUGAGAAAAAAGCUGUCUCUUAAAUAUUUUAUUAGAAUUUUAUUUUUAAGUUAAAAAGCUUAAAUAUUAUUUAAAGACGAGAAGACCCUUUAGAAUUUUAAAAAAUUAAUUAUUUUGUAGUUUUAGGAAUUAUAUGAUAAAUUUAUUAUUUUUUUUUGGUUGGGGUGACUGAAAAAUUUAAUUAACUUUUUUUGAAUUUUACCAUUGAUUUAUGAAUUUUUGAUCCAUAUUUUAUGAUUAUAAGAUUAAAUUACCUAAGGGAUAACAGCGUUAUUUUUUUUGAGAGUUCUUAUCGAAAAAAGAGAUUGCGACCUCGAUGUUGGAUUAAAAUUAAAUUAUGGUGUAGGGGCUAUAACUUUAAGUCUGUUCGACUUUUAAAAUUUUACAUG